rnacentral:rRNA from 1 species
GGUCGAGCGAAUGGAUGUAAGAGCUUAGCUCUUAUGAAGUUAGCGGCGGACGGGUGAGUAACACGUGGGUAACCUGCCCAUAAGACUGGGAUAACUCCGGGAAACCGGGGCUAAUACCGGAUAACAUUUUGAACCGCAUGGUUCGAAAUUGAAAGGCGGCUUCGGCUGUCACUUAUGGAUGGACCCGCGUCGCAUUAGCUAGUUGGUGAGGUAACGGCUCACCAAGGCAACGAUGCGUAGCCGACCUGAGAGGGUGAUCGGCCACACUGGGACUGAGACACGGCCCAGACUCCUACGGGAGGCAGCAGUAGGGAAUCUUCCGCAAUGGACGAAAGUCUGACGGAGCAACGCCGCGUGAGUGAUGAAGGCUUUCGGGUCGUAAAACUCUGUUGUUAGGGAAGAACAAGUGCUAGUUGAAUAAGCUGGCACCUUGACGGUACCUAACCAGAAAGCCACGGCUAACUACGUGCCAGCAGCCGCGGUAAUACGUAGGUGGCAAGCGUUAUCCGGAAUUAUUGGGCGUAAAGCGCGCGCAGGUGGUUUCUUAAGUCUGAUGUGAAAGCCCACGGCUCAACCGUGGAGGGUCAUUGGAAACUGGGAGACUUGAGUGCAGAAGAGGAAAGUGGAAUUCCAUGUGUAGCGGUGAAAUGCGUAGAGAUAUGGAGGAACACCAGUGGCGAAGGCGACUUUCUGGUCUGUAACUGACACUGAGGCGCGAAAGCGUGGGGAGCAAACAGGAUUAGAUACCCUGGUAGUCCACGCCGUAAACGAUGAGUGCUAAGUGUUAGAGGGUUUCCGCCCUUUAGUGCUGAAGUUAACGCAUUAAGCACUCCGCCUGGGGAGUACGGGCCGCAAGGCUGAACUCAAAGGAAUUAGACGGGGGCCCGCACAUGCGGUGGAGCAUGUGCUUGUAAUUCGAAAGCAACGCGAAGAACCUUUACCAGGUGCUUGACAUCCUCUGAAACCCUACAGAUAGGGCUUUCUCUUUCGGGAGCAGAGUGACAUGUGGUGCAUGGUUGUCGUCAGCUCGUGUCGAGAGAUGUUAGGGUAAAGUCCCGCAACGAGCGCCACCCUUGGAUCUCUGCUGACAUCCUUAAGUGGCACUCAUUACGGUGACUGCCGCUGCACGAACGACGGAAGGCUGGAUG